rnacentral:lncRNA from 1 species
AAGUUUGCAUUUCCUAAAUCUGUAAAGAAUUUAUUCAAUUUUCUUAUCCUCUGCACUCUUCCAGUGAACUGAUUUAAUUUAGAAGUUUCACACACAAGCCAGAGAAGAUAUGUCUCAAAAAAUGUUUCUAAGUAGUUCCAGAAUCUACUCCUAUUUUCUUGUUUUGUGUCACAAUCUUAUACUCAUCCUUUCUGGAAAGUCAUGGAAAUAGAAGUGGGCUUUUAUUGAAUGUUUACACACACACACACACACACAACUAAAAGAAAAUAAAAAGGAGGAAGUAUACCAAGAAUUGAACCAAACUUAGAUAAUAUAGUCACCAUGUACAACUCUUAUAUGGCCUAUAAUUUUCUAGGCAGAAUAUGUGUACCCUCAAUCAUAAUAGGUUUCUCAAAGACAUAAAGCUUUAUGAAAAAUGGAUAUCAUCUGAUUUAUGAGUGCAUUCACUAACACAGGUAUUGCUCAGUGGUGUUUACCUACCGGUGAGUAGUAGGUAAUAGAGAACAUUAUUAAAUCAUUCAGUCUAGUGAGAUGGAUAGGUAAAAUCAGGGACACUGUGAGCAUCCUUUAGUAAGACACGUGUGAUGAAUGAAGAAUAAACUGAUGAAGACUUGAGCUGGAAGGUAAUCGAUGGGAAUGACAAGAAAUGAUCGUGUAUAACACAUGUAGGUAAAUAUCUACCAAAAAUUGGUAGAGAUUGCCAUGUAUGCCUAGAAUCUCAGCACAAGGCCAGCCUCUGUUACAUAGUGAGUUAGAGGCCAGCCUGGGCUUCAGGAGAUCCUACAUCAAAGGACCAAAGGAGAAAUUGGUUCAAACUGUUAACAACUUAAAGGAUAGUUAAACAAACAGCAGUUUGAUAUAUUGAGUGCUUGAGUCUUUAAUAAAAGUGAAUGAAUAACAUUGUGAGGGAGGGAAGCAGUAAUGUAGAAGUCUGGUGGUAGAAGAGUUAGAAGAAACAGAUGUAAUGUUGAAUGUUAGUUUUAGACUUUUGUUCAGAGAUGAUUAUAAGAGUGAUUAAAUUAGUAAGGUAAAGAUACCAGAAGAAUUAUUUUGCGAUAGAACUAAGGCAGUCAAACUCCACAUGCCUAUACUUAGAAGGGGAAAGUAAGGAUCAAAGUAGAAAGCAAUUAGUCAGAAAAGCAUAUUACAUCAGGCAGCAGGAGCAGAUGGUGGAGAAAAGUUAAACAAGGAGAAAAUAAUUAACCACGUUGGCUUGGGAAAGAGAAGAGAAAAUGGCAAGUCUAAAUGAAUGCAAACUGAGCAGGCAUUUCCCAGAGGGUGUGGGCUGAGGACCAGAACAUUUGCAAAAGUGUUGAGAGAUUAAAAUAUAAAGUCCUAGAUGACUAAUCAUAGUGUAUUAUUGUUAGUUAGUUUUCAUCCUCAGGUUAAGGAGCAGGGCUCAGACUCUGGAGACCACCAAGAGUGUAACAGCAGAGUGGAAAUAAGGUCAGACGGGGAAGAGCAACAAUUUGCUCAGGCUGCAGAUGUCCCGAUUUCAAAAAAGCUCCAAAGCCCUAGGUUUGGGAGAAGAGGAGAGACUGAUCCUGAGGGUGGAUGGCUGGGGAAGGGAUGGGGGAACUUGGCAAAACCAUCACUCUUAUGUCCACUGUGUAGGACUUUGUGAUAGUCUUACAAGCACUGUCUCAUGGAUCCUAUUAAAUGUCUUUACACACACUUCAAA